UACGAAGGGGGCUAGCGUUGCUCGGAAUCACUGGGCGUAAAGGGUGCGUAGGCGGGUUUUUAAGUCAGGGGUGAAAUCCUGGAGCUCAACUCCAGAACUGCCUUUGAUACUGAAGAUCUUGAGUCCGGGAGAGGUGAGUGGAACUGCGAGUGUAGAGGUGAAAUUCGUAGAUAUUCGCAAGAACACCAGUGGCGAAGGCGGCUCACUGGCCCGAUACUGACGCUGAGACACGAAAGCGUGGGGAGCAAACAGGG
rnacentral:rRNA from 1 species